rnacentral:rRNA from 1 species
GAUGAACGCUGGCGGCGUGCCUAAUACAUGCAAGUCGAGCGAACGGACGAGAAGCUUGCUUCUCUGAUGUUAGCGGCGGACGGGUGAGUAACACGUGGAUAACCUACCUAUAAGACUGGGAUAACUUCGGGAAACCGGAGCUAAUACCGGAUGAUAUUUUGAACCGCAUGGUUCAAAAGUGAAAGACGGUCUUGCUGUCACUUAUAGAUGGAUCCGCGCUGCAUUAGCUAGUUGGUAAGGUAACGGCUUACCAAGGCAACGAUGCAUAGCCGACCUGAGAGGGUGAUCGGCCACACUGGAACUGAGACACGGUCCAGACUCCUACGGGAGGCAGCAGUAGGGAAUCUUCCGCAAAGGGCGAAAGCCUGACGGAGCAACGCCGCGUGAGUGAUGAAGGUCUUCGGAUCGUAAAACUCUGUUAUUAGGGAAGAAAAUAUGUGGAAGUAACUGUGCACAUCUUGACGGUACCUAAUCAGAAAGCCACGGCUAACUACGUG